GCGCCCGUAGCUCAGUUGGAUAGAGCGUCUGACUACGAAUCAGAAGGCCGGUGGUUCAAAUCCUCCCGGGCGCG
rnacentral:tRNA from 1 species